UACGAGGGGUGCAAGCGUUGCUCGGAAUUAUUGGGCGUAAAGGGUAGGUAGGUGGUCUCAUUUGUCUGGGGUGAAAGCCUUGAGCUUAACUCAAGAAGUGCCCCGGAAACGGUGAGACUCGAGUACUGGAGAGGCUAGUGGAAUUCCCGGUGUAGCGGUGAAAUGCGUAGAGAUCGGGAGGAACACCAGAGGCGAAGGCGGCUAGCUGGACAGUUACUGACACUCAACUACGAAAGCGUGGGGAGCAAACAGG
rnacentral:rRNA from 1 species